rnacentral:rRNA from 1 species
UACGGGGGGGGCAAGCGUUGCUCGGAAUCACUGGGCGUAAAGGGUGCGUAGGCGGGUCUUUAAGUCAGGGGUGAAAUCCUGGAGCUCAACUCCAGAACUGCCUUUGAUACUGAGGAUCUUGAGUACGGGAGAGGUGAGUGGAACUGCGAGUGUAGAGGUGAAAUUCGUAGAUAUUCGCAAGAACACCAGUGGCGAAGGCGGCUCACUGGCCCGUUACUGACGCUGAGGCACGAAAGCGUGGGGAGCAAACAGG